UGGCAAGUCGACCAAAGGCGAAAGCAGUCAUCAAGGGCACGCCCGUUGAUCAAGAGCGAAAGUUAAGGGUUCGAAGACGAUCAGAUACCGUCGUAGUCUUAACUAUAAAUGAUACUGACUAGGGAUAGGACUCUGUCCAUCUCGACUUCUCCCGGACCUUAGAGAAAUCAAAGUCUUUGAGUUCCGGGGGGAGUAUGGUCGCAAGGCUGAAACUUAAAGGAAUUGACGGAAGGGCACACAAAGAGUGGAACCUGCGGCUUAAUGGCUAGGCCGAGUCGUCUUGGUAGGCUGUUGCUGAGUAGCGAUGAAGGCUGGCGCAGAUGGUCCCUGCGCUAGCCUUCAGAGCCGCUCGGUAGCUGAGUAGCGAUGAAGGCUAGCGCAGAUGGUCCCUGCGCUAGCCUUCAGAGCCGCUCGGCAGCUGAGUAGCGAUGAAGGCUAGCGCAGAUGGUCCCUGCGCUAGCCUUCAGAGCCGCUCGGCAGCUGAGUAGCGAUGAAGGCUAGCGCAGAAGGACCCUGCGCUAGCCUUCAGAGCCGCUCGGCGACUGAGUAGCGAUGAAGGUUGGUGCAGAAGGUCCCUGCGCUAGCCUUCAGAGCCGCUCAGCGGCAGUCUGCUAGGGCGGCUAGUCGACUUCUCAUAACAGGGUUGAGUGAGGAGCGGCAAGACAACCUGGUACGAGGGAACUCUGGUUAGCAAUCAGCCAGACAAUCUCGUGGCGAGCCCCUGGCGAGCGAUUGUUGGGUGUGCCGUCGUAACGCGCGGUAAGGUGUCGGGGGUUCUUCGCAAGGAGGCCUCUUAAGGAACGUGCUACUCCCGCCUGCGAGGGUGUUCAGUUGUAAGGCCUCAACCGCCCCAGAACUGGAGACCUGCGAUCCCGUUUAAAUACCGGGGGAGGUUGGUGUAAAGGUAAUUUGACUCAACACGGGAAAACUCACCAGGUCCAGAUACGCGUAUGAAGGACAAGCUGAAAGACUUUUCUCAAUGACGUAAGUGGUGGUGCAUGGUCGUUCUUAGUUCGUGGAGUGGUUUGUCUGGUCUAUUCCGAUAACGAGCGAGACCCCGGCGUUCCUAAUAGGGGCGGCAGCCCGGCUCGCGCCUUCGGGCGCUUGCUAGCAGCCGCCUCGCAAUUGCUUCUUAGACGGAUCAGAGCCGAUAAGGUUCUUGAAAUGGGUUAAUAACAGGUCAGUCAUGCCCUUAGAUGUUCUGGGCCGCACGCGCGUUACAAUGGUAGGCUUAAAGAGUGCCUUUUGCGGGCGUUUCCGCGGCCGACGGGUCGCGGUAACCCCUAGUCUCUCCCAUGACUGGGCCAGACUAUUGCAAUUAUUGGUCUCAAACGAGGAAGUUUUAGUAGGCGCAGGUCAUUAAC
rnacentral:rRNA from 1 species